CAUGCCUAGAACCAAAAAUUAACUUUUCCCUGGACUCUGAUCCUGAGCCAUGCUUUCAAACUUCACCAUGAUUGGGACUAGAACAUCUAGGAGAUUCUGUCUACCAUUCGUCUGUGCCCUCUUUAGCAUUUCUAGUCUUGGCACAUCCUGUCACCCCUGCCAAGGAACUCGAGUUUCAAUAGGCAUCAGAUUUGCGUGAGGAACUUGUUUAAAAUACUGAAACCAAUCAAGAAACGCAGAGUGGAGUAGGGCCAGAGAAUCUGCAUUUCAGCCAGCUUCCUCCCAUGGUUCCACAGAUCAUGGUUCCCAAAUUACAUUUUCUUUCCUUUAACUUUUUAUUAUGGAAAAUUUCAAAUGUAUAAAAAAUGAAAUAGUAAUAAUGAGCAAUUAUGUUUCAAUACUCAGCUUUAACAAUUAUCAGCUCAAGGCCAAUUUUGUUCCACUCAGAUUAUAUUUUUGAAAAACCUUCACAUCUGGACCCUCUCAACCUUCUUGGUUCCCUUCAUGUGUUUCUAGUCCAUUAAGGCUCAGUUCAUUCUCCUCGAGGGCAAGUUGCAUUCUAUGUCUUGGAAUCUCGAGUACCAACACUGUGCCUGGCAUGUACAGGCACUCAGUAAAUGAAUACAAUAGUACAUUUGAAAAGAACUUUAAAGGAAACCAAAUUAUCAUUUACCUGGAUGGUUUAGAAUAGAGGUAAGCGGGAUUAUCUGAUCACUUGUUUUUUCAGUUCUUUGCCUGUGAUUGCUAAUUCAGUUAAAGAAAUUAAGGCAUCAAAAUGCAUCUCGCCAAGUGAAAGGAUUGGGAAAAAGUUUUCAAAAGUCUAAUUUACAUUCUUUUCCUUCUGGUCUCAACAUUUUAUAAAAGAUUUUGUGUCGGUGGGUGUGUGGUAAGAGAGAAGGUAGGAAAACACCUCUGGGGAAUGAGGAUAUUGUCUCAUAGCCUUUGUUUUACUCUUUAACCUAGUAAUAAAUCUCUUAAAGCUC